ACAUGGGUCUGCAGCUACUGAGCUGACAGCAAGGACUAAAAUGGGAGCACUGUAGAGGAAAAAAAUUUUCAGCCUGACCAAUAUGGAGAAACCCCAUCUCUACUAAAAAUACAGAAUUAGAGGAGAGAAGGUUCCAAGAUGGCCAAAUAGGAACAGCUCCAGUCUACAGCUCCCAGCGUGAGCAACGCAGAAGACGGGUGACUUCUGCACUUCCAACUGAGGAUAUAUGAUUGUGUGGCCUGACAAUCUCAGAAAGUAAAAGCAAAGAAAUUGAAAGACAUGGAAAGAACUAGGCCGGGACCAGCACUGGGCCUUAAUAACCAGUUCACUGAGAUGGUAAGGUUCUAAAUCUUUAGAAGCCCUAAUAAUAUGUUUUACAUAGUGUGACAGCAUAAAGCAGGAAGAACUGACUGAAAAAUAUGUGUUAGCAGACUUGCUGACUACUUUCACCAAAUAAUUAACUGUCAAGUGGCAAAAUAAAGGAGCAAAGCCAAUAGCUUCACUAUCUAUGCAGCACCAAAUAACUCAAAACCAGAUGGGUAUAGAUGUGCAGAACAGUUGAAAGCUAAGUUCACUAUUUUCCGUGAAGCUCCAACAGCCCCACAAAUGGCAUUUAGCUCCGUAGUAAACCAUCCUAUAGGUCAGCAGGAAGCUCAUUAUGGGCUGACAGUCCAGGAGACAAGCACUUUUCAGGGAGCUACGGUAGUAAUUUCCUGUGUGAAAAGCUCACUGCUGUUCUUGCAUUCCUCAGGGUGCAUUUCUUCUCAUCUCAGAGGAUGUUUCUCUUCCACAGGAAGAGGAAGGAACCAGUUGUUACUGGAUGUGUGGGCUGAGAGCUGUCGGGCAUUUU
rnacentral:antisense_RNA from 1 species